AACGAACGCUGGCGGCAGGCCUAACACAUGCAAGUCGAACGCCCUAGCAAUAGGGAGUGGCGCACGGGUGCGUAACGCGUGGGAAUAUGCCCUUCACUGCGGAAUAACGUUUGGAAACGAACGCUAAUACCGCAUAAUGACUCCGGUCCAAAGAUUUAUCGGUGAAGGAUUAGCCCGCGUUAGAUUAGCUAGUUGGUGAGGUAAUGGCUCACCAAGGCGACGAUCUAUAGCUGGUCUGAGAGGAUGAUCAGCCACACUGGGACUGAGACACGGCCCAGACUCCUACGGGAGGCAGCAGUGAGGAAUAUUGGACAAUGGGCGCAAGCCUGAUCCAGCCAUGCCGCGUGAGUGAAGAAGGCCUUCGGGUUGUAAGACUCCUUCACGAUGUGAAGAUAAUGACGGUAGCAUCAGAAGAAG
rnacentral:rRNA from 1 species